UACAGAGGGUGCGAGCGUUAAUCGGAAUUACUGGGCGUAAAGCGUGCGUAGACGGUUAUUUAAGUCGGAUGUGAAAGCCCCGGGCUCAACCUGGGAAUUGCAUUCGAGACUGAAUAGCUAGGGUGCGGUAGAGGGAAGCGGAAUUUCCGGUGUAGCGGUGAAAUGCGUAGAUAUCGGAAGGAACAUCAGUGGCGAAAGCGGCUUCCUGGACCAGCACCGACGUUCAGGCACGAAAGCGUGUGGAGCAAACAGG
rnacentral:rRNA from 1 species